ACAAGUUUUCCCUUCACAUGACCUCUGGCAUAUGCCUGAUCGAUCUUUCUCUUAGUUUUGGCUCAUCCUUGGCUUUGGAAUUGCUUUGAGAAAUAACCCCACAAGACACCAUGCCCUCAUAGGCCUAUAUUUUCAAGAAGCAGGGGCUAGAUUUGAGAACUGGUACUCAAACAACCAGCCCUGGCAUCAUGGCCACUUCUUCCAGUGCUAAGAACUUCACCUUGAAAGAUUGGGAACAAGAGGCACCUGUAAGUCCCAAUUCUGCUACAGAUUACUUCAACAAAGAGAUUCUCCUAUUUUGUCCAAACUGCAUGUUCAAGUCUACACAAAUCCAGGGAGAAGGACCAAAAGGAAAAAACUGAUUCCAUAGCCUUGCCUCCUGAUGGGGUCAGAAAUAAAAUUCUUUGGGGAUGGGGUAAUUGGGAGUUUGAGGGGUAAGUGGGAGUCUGGGAUUGAGGGAGGAAGCCCCUUCCAGAUCUUUGGGGGCAGCUGCAAUUUCCCCAACUUUGCUCUCUUGGUUCCCCUGCCUGUAGUGAAACCCUUAAAAUAAAACAAAAAGCCCUUCAAAGCUUACCUGAAAGGUGAAGGGAAAUGAGGAGUUGUUACAGUGAGUGUUCAUCAGGCAGCAGGAGUCAGAAUGGGUGGGGGGGCAGACUCACCUAUGAAGACCCACCUGGAUUUACAAUUCUGCCGCUGUCCUCCACUGCCCCCAGCAUAUACUGGGACUCCUUCUAAAAUAACUCAUCAGCCUUUUCUUAACUCCUCCUCCUCCUUCCUUCAAAUCAAUGACUUAUUUUGAACAGAGGAAGCUGAGUUGAAAAGUGCACUGAAACCGGCAUUUCAGCCAAUUGAAUCUACUUGGGUUUUUGGACUGAAGUCCAGUCCUCCUGUCUUCUACAAGGUCAGCCAGGAGCUGUGCCCUGACGUGCCCUCUUCUCUAGGAUUGAGCCUCAUCCAUACCAAGGCCUGAUUGUGCUUGGGUGAAUGAAAGUGUGUGAAAUUGCAAGGAAAGGGGGCAGAAGAAAUUCUCCCAAGAUGCACAGAAUGUGUGGAAUUAACCAGUUCGACUGGAAAAGCAACAGAGUGUUCAUAUAUAGCUUGAAAAUACCGAUUUCGAAACACAGAUGUUCUACCAAAUCCUCGCUUGCUUAUUCUCAGCUAAAUUCAACCUCUGAGCUUUAAAAAGAUUUUCUAAACUGUUAAGGACAAAAAAAAAAAAAUGACAUUAUACAUUUACAUCUGGCUCUAUCACCAUUUAGGGCAUGCUAUUACACACAUUAAACAUCUGGGCAAGGGGAAAGGAUCUAUUUGGGAGCUUCUGGCUACCGUGACAACAGAAGGACACAGUCUCUCAAACCGUUCAGUCUCUGCUCUUCUACUUUUGACACCACUGCAGCCCUUCCAUGUUUAUUCCAAAAGCCGAGAGUAGGUGCCACUUUAAAACCACAAUCAUCACAGUAAGCAAUAUUGAUGUGUGGAAGGUAAGUUCCUAGGGGAUGCUUCUCUUGCUUGUGCACUAGUUCAAUAUUAUGGAUAAGGCAAAUCCCCUCCAUUUGCAGCAAUGCUGUUAAAAUAAUUUGGAUUUUAUGGCUUUUAGACAUGGGAGUCUUCUAUUUCUGAGUUACGGGAUGGCUCCUAGUGAAAUGGUCUUAACAGAAAUGGUGAAAAUUUGCCACCAUUAUUUUUCCUGUUAAGAAGUCUCCCUUGUGGAUAUUCAAAACAUUUACCAACAUUUUAAACGGCAUCGAAUAUGGACAAUUACAGCUUCCAUGUAUUAAUGUUUCCUGCACAUAGAAUGUAUAAUGUACCUUGGACAUAGUAUUUUUCCAUUUAUUCUUCAAAACUCAGUAUUAUUAUUUAGACCUCACAGUUUCAGAAACUGAACCAUGGACAAAGGUACGUCAACAUUCACUCAAAGAACUAUUUACUGAGUACUGACUACGUGGCAGGCUCUGUGCUAGGCUAUAUCCUAUCCCUACCUUCAGGGGGCUUACCAUGAAUGAGCAAGGUCUGGUUCAAAGGGAAACAAACAGUUAGGGAGGAAAGCAGGCAGAAAGAGAAUCUGAGUCUGACCUCAAAACAAAACACAAAAGCUCAGGUCUGACUGACUGACGUGGUUACCAAGAGCCUCAGAGUCAUCUCUGACUCACUUCUGCCUGUCACAUGCAAUCUGCUGAACAGAUCAUGUUGGCUCUGGCACGCAAUAAAUCCAGAAGUCGACCACAUCUAACCACCCUAGUCCAAAUCACGGCCAUCUCUCACCUGGGCUAUUUCAUGGGCUCUUGAAGAAACUCCCAGUGUCUGGCCCUUUCUCCACUUACUCUCAAGAGAGCAGCCACCUGGGGUCUUGCUGAAAUGUUUAAUCACACCAUGUCACUCUUCUGCCCAAGACCCUCUGACUUGUCACUCAAAGGAAGAGCAAAGUCCUUACUAAGGCGCUGCAGGCCUGGCUCAGCGUGGGUCUGUCUCAUGUCGUCUCCUGCCCCUCACUACCCCUGCUCACUGGUGUCCAGUCACGUGGGCUUCAGGGCUUCCCCGCCCACACGGAAUACAUCCAUCGCUUUUGCACUUCAAAUCCCCACACCUGCUGUUCCCUCUGUCUGGUACUCGCUUUCCAAGACAUUUGCAUUUGUUCCCUCACUUCCUCUGGCCUUUACCCAGUGUACCCAUCUCCACAAGGCAUUCUCUGAUCACCGUAUUUAGGAAUGCAACCCUCCCCAAACAUUCCCUAUUCUCCCCUUCCUGCUUUAUCAUCCUUGUAGUUACCAAUCCCCACCUGACAUGUUACACAUUCUACUCAUUUCCUCUGUUUAUUGGCUCUCUCUCUUAGCUCUCCCCAACUCCAGAUAGUCUGAAAUCAGACACUAAUAAUUAGCCUUUUUUCCCCCCUGAAAGCCAAAUAAGUAGCAUAACACUCUCCUCCCAGAAAUAUCUGGCAGUCCCCUACAAAAACAAAAUAAAACAAAACAAAACAAAAAAAGAAAAAAGCAAAACAUGCUUCAGGAA